rnacentral:rRNA from 1 species
ACGGCGAAGUGAAGCGGCAACAGCUCAAAUUUGAAAUCUGGAGCCUUCGGCUUCCGAGUUGUAAUUUGAAGAGGAUGUUUCGGUGCGACCUGGGCCUAAGUUCCUUGGAACAGGACGUCAUGGAGGGUGAGAAUCCCGUACAUGGCUGCAGGUUUGCUUCUAUGUGAAACUCCUUCGAAGAGUCGAGUUGUUUGGGAAUGCAGCUCAAAAUGGGUGGUAAAUUUCAUCUAAAGCUAAAUAUUGGCGGGAGACCGAUAGCGCACAAGUAGAGUGAUCGAAAGAUGAAAAGCACUUUGAAAAGAGAGUUAAACAGUACGUGAAAUUGUUGAAAGGGAAGCGCUUGCAAUCAGACUCGCCUUCAGUUGAUCAGCCUUCCUUCUGGUUGGUGCACUCUGCUGUUGGCGGGCCAGCAUCAGUUGGGGCGGUGGGACAAAGGCGGCAGGAAUGUGGCUCGCUUCGGUGAGUGUUAUAGCCUGCUGCGUCAUGCCACCAGUCCCGAUUGAGGUCCGCGGUUCGCCUAGGAUGCUGGCUUAAUGGUUGUAAGCGACCCGUCUUGAAACACGGACCAAGGAGUCUAACAUCUAUGCGAGUCUUUGGGUGUAAAACCCAUGGGCGGAAUGAAAGUGAACGGAGGUGGGAGUCCUCGGAUGCACCAUCGACCGAUCCUGAUGUUCUCGGAUGGAUUUGAGUAUGAGCAUAGCUGUUGGGACCCGAAAGAUGGUGAACUAUGCCUGAAUAGGGUGAAGCCAGAGGAAACUCUGGUGGAGGCUCGCAGCGGUUCUGACGUGCAAAUCGAUCGUCAAAUUUGGGUAUAGGGGCGAAAGACUA